rnacentral:rRNA from 1 species
CUGGGUUUGACAUCNCCAGGACGCCAGUAGAGAUAUUGGUUCCCUUGUGGCCUGUGUGCAGGUGGUGCAUGGCUGUCGUCAGCUCGUGUCGUGAGAUGUUGGGUUAAGUCCCGCAACGAGCGCAACCCUUGUCUCAUGUUGCCAGCGCGUUAUGGCGGGGACUCGUGAGAGACUGCCGGGGUCAACUCGGAGGAAGGUGGGGAUGACGUCAAGUCAUCAUGCCCCUUAUGUCCAGGGCUUCACACAUGCUACAAUGGCCGGUACAAAGGGCUGCGAUGCCGUGAGGUUAAGCGAAUCCUUUAAAGCCGGUCUCAGUUCGGAUCGGGGUCUGCAACUCGACCCCGUGAAGUCGGAGUCGCUAGUAAUCGCAGAUCAGCAACGCUGCGGUGAAUA